ensembl:ncRNA K11C4.11 ncRNA
AAAAUAACUCUGCCCCAUGCCAGGCUCGAACUGGCGACCUUGGCAUUCCCUAUUAACUAUAAGUACCACGCGCUAACCGACUGCGCCAAUGGGGCUUGAUUUGCAGUUUCCGUGAAAUAAAAUUUGUUAUCGGACUGUAGUAUUGCGAAAACA